AUUGAACGCUGGCGGCAUGCUUUACACAUGCAAGUCGAACGGUAACAGGCCGCAAGGUGCUGACGAGUGGCGAACGGGUGAGUAAUGCAUCGGAACGUGCCCAGUCGUGGGGGAUAACGCAGCGAAAGCUGCGCUAAUACCGCAUACGAUCUGUGGAUGAAAGCGGGGGACCGAAAGGCCUCGCGCGAUUGGAGCGGCCGAUGUCAGAUUAGGUAGUUGGUGGGGUAAAGGCCCACCAAGCCAACGAUCUGUAGCUGGUCUGAGAGGACGACCAGCCACACUGGGACUGAGAAACGGCCCAGACUCCUACGGGAGGCAGAAGUGGGGAAUUUUGGACAAUGGGCGCAAGCCUGAUCCAGCAAUGCCGCGUGCAGGAAGAAGGCCUUCGGGUUGUAAACUGCUUUUGUACGGAACGAAACGGCUCUGGUUAAUACCUGGGGCUAAUGACGGUACCGUAAGAAUAAGCACCGGCUAACUACGUGCCAGCCGCCGCCGUAAAAC
rnacentral:rRNA from 1 species